GUGAUCCAUUCGCGAGCAAAACCUCCAAUAACCUCUAAGUCCGCGGUCUAAAAAACCUCCAACGAGGUUACAAAAAGAAGGUUUGCUGAAGUAAAGUGAAGUUGGUCUGGAAGCACGCCACGACUUUCCCAAUGAUGAGUGUAGACUGUUUGGUUCGCUAAUGGAUCACCAACGAGAUUCGACAAGCCAACAAGCAAAAAUCUAUACCGUCGCCUCGCCAGUGGAUGACCGCCUUAACUCUCAUGUUCUUAAUAACAAAGACAAACCUUAUUUUAACAUCUGCCACCUAUCUUUGUUUAAACCACCUAUGUUUGGUCUCGCUCCAGCUAAGUCCAGUGGCUAACAAAAUGUAUACCUACUAAUAAUAAUAAUAAGAUAAACCUUCGUAUACUACCAUAAUGUCUGUAACCUAAACCCCAUGAUACUAACCAGAAUUUUGGUAUUUUUAGGUUUUUACUGCGUUGCAACUGGCUCCAGACUGGAAUUUAUAACCAAGACUAAAUAUUCAAGUGCCUAUCUGAAGUACUUAACAACAAGUUGUAUUAAGAUCUUAUGAAGUUAAUACCUACAUAAGAAACUAAAUUGGCAUAUCAUUCUGCUACUGAAUAAUCAAGAAGCAGUUUUUUUAGCUAAUAGAAGAGAAGCUUAUGCUUGAUAUUUCAGAACACCAACAGAACGCCUAUUUCAGCUAUUGGAACACCCAGGCUUGCUGCUCCAUUUUACUCGAGAGCUAGGCUGGCUGAGCUAAAAUUAAGGGGAUAUGUACAAAGGUUCCACUCAAGAGAGCCACGUACAGGAGCUUCACCACCUCUCAGAAUAGAAUAGAAAAUCUACUAAAUAAAGUUGUAUCAAUACCUUGAUAGUACAGUCAGCAAUAGAUAUUUAUGCCACCCCAGUAACGAAAAUUUGAUCCUCAUGGGUGGAAUAAUAAUAUUUUAUCUAUACUUACUAACUUAAGUAUUACUUACCUUAAUAUCAGUUAUCAUUAUUUUCCAUGUUACAUAAAUAUUACCUAUCAGUGGUCAUAAUAUCUAAGGGCUUGCGUUGGGGUGGCAUACAUAUCUCUUUUCUUGACUGUACAAUAUAUUAUUAUUAUAUCCUAACCUAUAGAAUUACUAUUAAUCUAUAUUUCUAUCUUAUUUCAGAUAAUCAAGAAGCAGUUUUUUAGCUAAUAGAAGAGAAGCUUAUGCUUGAUAUUUCAGAACACUAAUAAUAAUUGUGAUGUGAUUUAAUAUAUGAUGAAACACAAAAUACAGCAAAAA